rnacentral:rRNA from 1 species
CACCGCGGUUAUACGAGAGGCCCAAGUUGACGAACCCCGGCGUAAAAUGUGGUUAUUAUAGUAUUGCACUAAAGCCAAACAUCUUCAAAGCUGUUAUACGCUUCUGAGGACAGGAAGCCCUACCGCGAAAGUGGCUUUAAGUUAUAUGUACCACGAAAGCUAAGAAA